UACGAGGGGGGCAAGCGUUGUCCGGAAUCAUUGGGCGUAAAGCGCGCGUAGGCGGCCCUGUAAGUCCGUUGUGAAAGUCAAAGGCUCAACCUUUGAAAGCCGAUGGAUACUGCAGGGCUAGAGUCCGGAAGAGGCGAGUGGAAUUCCUGGUGUAGCGGUGGAAUGCGCAGAUAUCAGGAGGAACACCGGUGGCGAAGGCGGAUCUCUGGGCCAUUACUGACGCUGAGGAGCGAAAGCGUGGGGAGCGAACAGG
rnacentral:rRNA from 1 species